GUUCCUACGGGAGGCAGCAGUGGGGAAUAUUGCACAAUGGGGGAAACCCUGAUGCAGCAACGCCGCGUGAAGGAAGACGGUUUUCGGAUUGUAAACUUCUUUUCUUAGUGAAGAAGCAAGUGACGGUAGCUAAGGAAUAAGCAUCGGCUAACUACGCGCCAGCAGCCGCGGUAAUACGUAGGAUGCGAGCGUUAUCCGGAAUUACUGGGUGUAAAGGGAGCGCAGGCGGGAAGCCAAGUCAGCUGUGAAAACUACGGGCUUAACUUGUAGACUGCAGUUGAAACUGGUUUUCUUGAGUGAAGUAG
rnacentral:rRNA from 1 species